GACGAACGCUGGCGGCGUGCCUAAUACAUGCAAGUCGAACGCUUCUUUCCUCCCGAGUGCUUGCACUCAAUUGGAAAGAGGAGUGGCGGACGGGUGAGUAACACGUGGGUAACCUACCCAUCAGAGGGGGAUAACACUUGGAAACAGGUGCUAAUACCGCAUAACAGUUUAUGCCGCAUGGCAUAAGAGUGAAAGGCGCUCUCGGGUGUCGCUGAUGGAUGGACCCGCGGUGCAUUAGCUAGUUGGUGAGGUAACGGCUCACCAAGGCCACGAUGCAUAGCCGACCUGAGGGGGUGAUCGGCCACACUGGGACUGAGACACGGCCCAGACUCCUACGGGAGGCAGCAGUAGGGAAUCUUCGGCAAUGGACGAAAGUCUGACCGAGCAACGCCGCGUGAGUGAAGAAGGUUUUCGGAUCGUAAAACUCUGUUGUUAGAGAAGAACAAGGACGUUAGUAACUGAACGUCCCCUGACGGUAUCUAACCAGAAAGCCACGGCUAACUACGUG
rnacentral:rRNA from 1 species